GGAGGAAAAGAAACUAACAAGGAUUCCCNUAGUAACUGCGAGUGAAGCGGGAAAAGCUCAAAUUUAAAAUCUGGUAGUCUUUGACUGCCCGAAUUGUAAUCUAGAGAAGUGCUAUCCGCGCUGGACCAUGUAUAAGUCUUCUGGAAUGGAGCAUCAUAGAGGGUGAGAAUCCCGUCUUUGACAUGGACUACCAGGGCUUUGUGAUGUGCUCUCAAAGAGUCGAGUUGUUUGGGAAUGCAGCUCUAAAUGGGUGGUAAAUUCCAUCUAAAGCUAAAUAUUGGCAAGAGACCGAUAGUGAACAAGUACCGUGAGGGAAAGAUGAAAAGAACUUUGGAAAGAGAGUUAAACAGUACGUGAAAUUGUUGAAAGGGAAACGCUUGAAGCCAGUCGCAUUGACCAGUGAUCAACCUUGCUUUUGCUUGGCGUAUUUUCUGGUUAAUGGGUCAGCAUCAAUUUUAACCAGUAGAAAAAAACUGAAAGAAUGUGGCAUUUUCGGAUGUGUUAUAGCUUUCAGUUAUAUAUAUUGGUUGGGAUUGAGGAACUCAGCAWGCCGCAAGGCCAGAUAUUAAAUCAUGUUCAUGCUUAGGAUGCUGGCAUAAUGGCUUUAAUCGACCCGUCUUGA
rnacentral:rRNA from 1 species